rnacentral:misc_RNA from 1 species
AAGUCGUAACAAGGUUUCCGCAGGUGAACCUGCGGAAGGAUCAUUAACACGUCUUUAUAUCCAAUAUAUAAACUAAACGCGAACUAAAACCCCCGCCCUAUCAUCUACACGGUCAAGGUUGAUUUUAAUUAACUCUGACUGAUGGUAGGCAAUUUUAUCAACAAUCAUUUUAAACUCUUAUAACCUAGUUGAUCUAACUACUAAGACAUUCUAGUAUUCAUUCUAUGAAUACUGCUUGUUGUUAUAUUACGAAAUGUAAGAACAACUCUUAGCAAUGGAUAUCUUGGUUCUC